GGCCGGGGCCGGGGCAGGGGCAGGGGCUGGCGCUGGCGCUGGCGCCCGGCGCCCGGGCCGCGGGAGAGUUCGCCUCAGCCUUGGGGCGUCUCGCCCACUCUCCGGCGAACCCGCGCCCCAACACGGGCCUGCGAGGGCCCACGGAGGCUGGUCUCUGCUGACCUCUCCAGCUCCUGUCCUACCAGGCUUCCGCUGCCCGCCGGGUCUUCCCCGGGCUUGUCUCACCGCGGGGCCCUGGAGCUGCCCGCGGGGCUCGCACGCCGGGGCUCGCCCAUGCUCCGGGGGGGCCCGGGUGUCACUUCGUCCUCCCCUCCGCACGCUCCGUUGACAGUCGCGGAGCACCCGCCCCGGCUGCCCCCUGCUGUGGUCGCCCCAUUUGUGUAUGUCCGAGAACCGAGUGUCACCUGGGAUGAGAGGAGCCGCUUCCUUAGCGUCUGUCUGCCCUGUACCCCGCACGCCAGAACACAGACUGCGGGGGGGCGACACGCGUGUCAGCCGCUCGCGGCGACGACCACGCUGGCCCAACAAGGUAACUGUAGAUGAGAAUUCUACGCUGUCCCGAGAGUCUACAGGGCUCACAUAACACACAGGCCCUGUGUGUUAGACCUCUGAGGAGGGAGAAGAGUCUGACAGAAAUGUUGGCUGGACCCCCGGGCUGUAAGAGCUGUUCCAUCUGCCAUGAUCCUCGCCAUGAUCCUCUCUAUUGCGUGCUAUCUGCAAACCUGCUGCAGAACAGUGCUGCACGGUGCUGGAGGCCCCGGGGAAGACAAGGCAGACAAAGGGUUGCUGUGGUGACUCAGAGGGAAGCCAGCUGCCACAUCAUAAAGAUACUCAAGCAACACUGCAGGGGCUGGGGGAUCCAUGUGGCAAGGACCUGAGGCCUCCUGCCAACAGCCCUCGUCACCUUGCCAGCCACAUGGGUGAGCUACCUUGAAGCACUUCCUCUAGCCCCAAGUCAAGCCUUCAAAUGACCACUGCCCCAGCCAGCAUCUUAACUGCAACCUCAUGACGCCGAGCAAGGACCACUCACCUGGCUGCUUUCCGAUUCGUGACCCACAGGAACCAUGAUAUCAUACAUCUUUAUUGUUGUUCUACAUCACAAGCUACAGCGAAUAUAUUUUGCAGCAAAUAGGUCACUCACGUGCCCUGCUAAGUAUAACAUCCUAUCUGUAUCUACAAGAAACUGAAUUUGUCCCUGGUGAGCAGCCUCAUCAGAGUGUCUUAAGUAAACCAUCUCCUCCCGCUGGAGUGUCAGUACCUCCCGAUAUCAAUAUGCCCCUGUCUGUUCAGAGGCAGAAAGACCUCAUUCUGCGACUUUUCUUCUAUAAAUCUUCAACCACUGUAACAAAGGAAACACACACACAUACGCAUGCAUAUACGAACAUUCACGCACACACACAGAGCCUUCUUUUAAACCUGAAAAAAUCACUCAAGCACUGGGAAUGUGAACUUUUUUCCAGGAAGAACCGGAUGCUCUGGACGUUUUAAAUACAAUUUAUUCAUGCUGUCUCGGAAUAGACCGGGGGUGGGGGUGGGGAUGCAGCGUGGGAGGGUACAGCUGACUACUGAGAAUUGAUAGAUGUCUCUGUUCUCCUUUGCUAGUCAUAAAAUUCUGAGCUGCAUGAGGACCAGCAGGACAAACCACUGCCAUGGAAGCCUUGUGUCCCUGCAUUCAUUUAAAUAUUUCAGAAUGGCAUUUUCCCCCUUUAUUUGCUUUUCCCCAUCCUGUUUGUCUCCCCAGGUGAGGAAGAGGGUCUCUAAUAAGGCAAAAACAGAGACUUUGUGGACAUAAUAGCAUGUCCGAAUUAUGGUAGAGGCAGUCAAGAUAUAGGGAGAAAUAUCUCCUUGCUGUGUAGAUGUUCUACUAUGAAGCAUCUGGAAGAUAUACGAGGCUUCUACUUAAGGUGGAGGUUAAGUACCUAGAGCUCCUUGGCCUCCAGGGCCAGGAAGAAUGCUCAGAGCCCAGAAGGCAGGUAGCAUUAUUCCAGACUACAGGGGGCCAUGAAGGCAGAGGCAAAGGGUAGAAAGAGCACUGAGAGUGGGAAUAAAGCACAAGCGAGACGAAAUAAAUCAGGCAGAGAAAGAGCUCCCAAAUGUUUAUCCAGAGUGGAUCUGUUUGGGCUGGAACACAGCUUGGUGAGAAACAAUGUUUCCCCAUCUUCUUAACUGUGGGUUCAUUUUUCCUUUCUGCCAAAGGCCCCUACCUGUAUGUCCUUCCAAGUAUUGAGUCACACCUGAAGGGUUACAUAAGCAGUGAAAUAUUCUCGUCACAUGGCAAGUAGAACCACGGAAGUCCUUCUCUGGGGAAGGGCAGGGCCGAUCAUAACCACAGUUUGGGGAGGCAGUUUCAGGACACAUUCUAGUGUGUCACUCUCCCCUGCCCCUGGAUGUCCUCCAGAGCCAGGUCCUGCCUCUCUGUUCAUCUUCAUUUAUGCAGCUUUUCUUGGUGAGCUCAUCCUUGCCUAUGAUUUCAUGCACCAGCUCUGAUGGAUAAUAAAUCCGGAUUUCCAGCCCUGGGCUCUCAUCUGUGGUCCAUCCCUGCAUGCAUCUAGCCAUGGACUUGCCUCCCUCUCUUAGUUUUUGGACCCUCAUCUUACAGUCAACAUGGCCAACUUAGAAUUCAAAUCCACACAAAGACUUCUUUUUUCCAUGACUCUACCCCUGCCAUUCAGGGACCUUGGGAUCAUCUCAAGUCUUCUCUUUGCUCAUGUCCUAAAACCUUUCUGCCAGCAAAGCCUGGCAGACUAAACCUUCAUCAUGGUCAAUGAUUACCCUGUGCUUAUGGUCUCCACUCUAUUCAAACCUAUCGUGACAAGCCUGGAACUCCUUUUUUAUUUCUUUGUCACUCCCUGCCAUAUCUCAAAGUUUGAAGCAAGUGUUCCCAUUUCCUGAAGUCUUAUCUGACCCCUCAAGACUACAUUUGUCUCCCUUAUGGAACUGCUAUUCAUUCUAUUCAAAAAAUAGUUAUUGAGAGUCUAGUGUAUAUAAUGUGUGAGGUGCUGAGGAUGCUAACCAUGAAGUCCCAGGCUUCAAGAGAUUAGUCUGGUAACCAUCACACCAAGAAUCUCUUCUGUUUUUUCUCUCUUAAAAGUGUUUCCCCAGCCAAACUUAAAUAGCCAAGAUUAUGUUUUCAAUGUCUUUUGUGAAACACCCAGUGAUAGACUAUAAGGCAUGUAAUGUGUUCUUACCAAGUGCUUGUUGGUUACAUGCAAGAUAGGUAGCAGAAUAAGACUAGAGAUACAUGUCAACUGUAAUGUUUACCUAGAUUAGAGAAUUAUCUUUGGUUAAGAAAAAAAAACACAUCAAAAAAUUUAAAAAACUGCACUGUACUGGAGUGAUGCUUUACAUGUAUAACCAACAAUUCAAUUUAACUUGACAAAUUAUUUCACUCAAAUUUUAAAAAUAGUGGUUCACAACCCAUUGCCCAAAUUCCAUAAUCAUGAACUGAUAGUCACCUAUUAAGACUAAAGAAUGAAUAUCAAAAUGAUUUGUAGCACCUUAACAAUUUGAGUGUAAAUAUUUGAAAUGUCUUAAGAGAUCUUACGAGAUAGAAAUAGGAACAAAUUGAGAGGCAUCUAACACAAACUCUUAGAUAAAACUAUUCUGUCCUAUUAAGAAAAAGGAUAUUGAUAGGAUCUAAACACAUGAGGCAACCUGGCCUUCCUCUCAACAAGGAUAUCUUGGAACCAGGGAUAGAACUGGGCUCAGGCAGUCCCAACAGUGUACUUUCUAAGUGCCCCCAGGAAAAAAACUUCUGUGUAUCAGAAGUGGAGUAUAUUUCCUCCCAAAUGGAUAACUGUUUCUGGUUAUAUAGGGAGAUAGUUAGCUCAGCCUAACUUUAAAUGAGUAUAGUUUUGAUACUUUGUUCAGAGGAUCUAGUGUGGACCUCUACUUCCACAUCCAGUUCUAGGAACAUAUGUCACCCUAGCUCAGAAGAGAUCUUCACACGCUGAACAGAAGCUCAACAAUUCAGAGUCAAAAGUUAGUCUCAGGCACAUGUUUACUGUCAAAUCUGAUUUUUUUAAAAAUUCAUACUCACCUGCCAGAAUAUGCUAUCUAUUGUAUUUCCAAGAAAACCAUCGCGACCUUCUGAAGACACCAGUUUGGGCCCAAGAAUUGUCAUGAAUUCAUCAAAGUCCACCUGGCCAUCCCCUGGAAGGAGAAAAUAUAAAUGUGAGUUGAAAUGUUGUUGAAAUUGACCUACUGCGCCCAAUGAAAUAAACACCAUCACGCUUUUCCCCUUGGCGUGACCUCAACCAAUGAAGAGCUGGCAGCUUUACUGAAAAUUGUCCAACAUUCUUAAAAUACCAAGGGGGAGAACAAAAAACUGGCAAUAUUGGUACAUUCAGUAACACAUAUGCCUAACUAUUUGCCAGUAGGUCUAUACCUCCGUGCCCGACCAGCACCGCUCACUCAAGUGGCCACCCUCACACCUGCUGUACCGUCCGGCCUCAAUUGGCCCAGCUGUAAAUUUCAUAGAAAUUGCAGCUUCAUCCACACCUCCUCAUCCUUGUCACCCACACAUAAACUGAGACAUCACAUCUUUCACCUCUUCCAAGCCUGCGCUUGCUCUUUCUUCCUUGUUAAUUCAAUCACCAUCAUGGUGGGAAAAUGUCUGCAAGAAUCAAUGCACCGAAUUAAAAUUACAACCUUACCAGUGGAGUGGCUAUCUGCUCUCACACUCUCACCUCCACUCUGUCUCCCAUACAGUAGUUUAUUCCCCCCAAAGCAUAACUGAUCGCGCUUUAUAAACAUCAAUGGCAUCUUUGAUCAAAAUAAGGAAAUCGCUUCAGGAUGGUGUUCAAACCCCUUUCGCUGCCUUUUACUCCCCACCUCUGCACAAAAUGCCAUACUUUUUUCAGAAUUUCAUGCCUCUGGUACAUGCUGUUCCUUCCAUCCAGGAUGCCUUCCCCGACUUGUCUGCCUAAUGAACGUCAUCUCAUUCUCUAAGAUGGAACUUAAAUAUAAUGUUCUCUUUUUAUUUUUCUUUCUGACCCUCAUCUCACUAGACAGAGUUGUUCUCCAUCUACCUUCAUGUGCCUCUGUCCUAGAACUUAUCAGCCUGUAUCUCAGUCACUGAUCUGUGUACCUAUUUCCCACCUGCUUUGUAAGUUCUGCAAGGUCAGGGACCCAGUUUGAAACUUCUUUGUAUAUUCCACAUGAUGGCAAGCACUUUGUAUGUACUCAUGCAAUGAAUGAAUGAUAUCUC